rnacentral:rRNA from 1 species
UGAGUAACACGUAUCCAACCUGCCGUCUACUCUUGGCCAGCCUUCUGAAAGGAAGAUUAAUCCAGGAUGGCAUCAUGAGUUCACAUGUCCGCAUGAUUAAAGGUAUUCCGGUAGACGAUGGGGAUGCGUUCCAUUAGAUAGUAGGCGGGGUAACGGCCCACCUAGUCUUCGAUGGAUAGGGGUUCUGAGAGGAGGGUCCCCCACAUUGGAACUGAGACACGGUCCAA